rnacentral:pre_miRNA from 1 species
GAGCUGGGUUCAUGCCUGAUUCAAAGAACUGUAAUUAUUAAAUGGUCAUUCACUGUCAGGGAUGCAAAUCAAACCUAUUUCAACGGUUUUGCUUCCAACUUCAUUUGAAACGCUUGAUGAAUCCUUGGUUAAUACUGAGCCUAGUGCGAAAAACUGGAACUGUUCUUAUAUCCUUAUUUUAAUACGGGAUCGGAUUCGCUGUUGCACUCAGGGUAAAGCUCAUUCUUUCCAUAGUCGCUUCGGUGACCAUUUUUUUGGAUCGUGUGAUAUAUAACCCGCAC